CCUACGGGUGGCAGCAGUGGGGAAUAUUGCACAAUGGGCGAAAGCCUGAUGCAGCGACGCCGCGUGAGUGAAGAAGUAUUUCGGUAUGUAAAGCUCUAUCAGCAGGGAAGAAAAUGACGGUACCUGACUAAGAAUCCCCGGCUAACUACGUGCCAGCAGCCGCGGUAAUACGUAGGGGGCAAGAGUUAUCCGGAUUUACUGGGCGUAAAGGGGGCGUAGGCGGGGAAGCAAGUCUGAAGUGAAAACCCAGGGCUCAACCCUGGGACUGCUUUUGAAACUGUUUGGCUAGAGUGUCGGAGAGGUAAGUGGAAUGCAUAGUGUAGCGGUGAAAUGCGUAGAUAUUAGGCGGAACACCAGUGGCGAAGGCGGCUUACUGAACGAUAACUGACGUUGAGGCUCGAAAGCGUGGGGAGCAAACAGGAUUAGAUACCCGGGUAGUC
rnacentral:rRNA from 1 species